UGAGCGGGUAAUUUCUAGUAUUAGUAAUAAGAGAAAUUAUAAAUUACGUUUAUGAUAAGAUAUAAAGCGAUAGAGAGCGUAUUCAAUGGUUUUACUCUUGAAAAAGAAGAAUGAAGUAGAAGAAGAAAGGAAAGAACAAGAAAUAGAAGAAAGUUUCCUACCAAGAGGAGUGUGGUAGACCAGUAGAUGGAAAAGAGAGAGGCCCAAGGCUGUCAGGCAGUCCACAAUGAAACUCGAAAGGCAAAAGGCUACAUUAAAGAAAUUGGCGCGCAGGCUAAAAUAAAAUUGGUGCCCAGAUCAGAAACACAACAAACAGACUCGGAGAACUUGUCCGGAACAGCAGAAUUCACAGGAACACGGUACACACAAGGAGUCCCAAAAGAAAUUCAGCAGGGACAGGACACAACAGGCAGAAGAUGAAGAACACAGGGUGAACUUGUCCCUCGAAGAACGAUGAGCAGUCACAAGCACAGAAGGCGGUAACCACUAAACACAACAGCAGAGACACCACAGAAAGGAAGAAGUCUUCACCGAGAAGAAAACGGAGAACUUCCAAGAACGGUCCCCUACACACACAGAAGUCCGCCGAAGAACGGGAACAGUCGACGCAGGAACAGAAUACCACGGGCAGAAGAAGCAAUUACCAGAGAGAAAAGUCCCGACGUCGAAGCACCACAGAAGAAGCACCGCUUAGUGUCAGAGAGACUGUUUGACGUUAAAUAAAUUUUAAUUUGUAUAGACUACAGUCGUACCACGAAUUAUGGCUCCUUGACUUAUGACGCUUCGGACUUACGUACAGUUUGAAUUGCUAACAUUUCCCAAAGUUCAGUGUUUUUUUUUUUUUUGGUAAAAAAACAGUGUGGUUACUUUUUUAAAAUAAAGCCUAU
rnacentral:lncRNA from 1 species